rnacentral:misc_RNA from 1 species
ACUGUUGGAGAAUGCUCAGACAGAAUGGAGAGCUCUCAAGGGGCUCAAACUUGUUCAUCAGAGUCGUUCGAAGGUGCCAAGAAAAAAAUCGGAUUUAGGAAUUCAGCAGAAGGAGUGCUUAACUUGCUUUACAGACCUGCGCAGUGACAAAUGUAGAAUGAGAUUGAAUGAAACCAUGGGACCAUAUAAUGUUUUCUUGAUGGAAGUGCCAUUCUUAAUGUUUAAUUGAGCAGACUUGACAGUUGUUAGGAGAACUUUCUGUCAUGAAUAAUUGAACUGAUUAAAAACCUGGAAGAUUGCUGCCUAGUAUAUAUUUGAUAAUGAAUCUGUUUUAAGUUU